ACAGAAGGAAAGAAAAGGAAGCGAAUCCUGCUGCCUGCAUCUCAAUAACUCUCGGGCAUUCUUUGCCAUGUGUCAAAGACCUGCUGAUCUGUUUAGUGACAUGAAGCCCCAAGGUGGACACUCCUAGAAACCCAAAUAGAUUUCCCCCUGAAUCAACUGCUGAACCCCACAAGGGAUAAUGUGUAGCAGGAACAAUGCACAGUUAUCCUCGGCCAGGAGGAGGGGAUGUUGUGAAUUUCUAACCGGACUGACUGAUGGAUUUUAUGAAUUUGCGUUGCAGUAUAUUACAAGUGGACUUUCAGGUGGGAAUCUCAAUAAUUGUAACACCAAACUCUGACAGAAUUACUCAAUUCAUCAGGACCUGGAUAUUCGCAUUAUAUUUCCACAAUUUUACUUCUGCACUGUUCUUAGUCUUUCGAUCCCUCUGAAAGACUGAGUUACAGAUCUAUACAAAACCUGUCCUUCCUCCCUGGCUCUCCCACCUCUCUUUCAGGAGUUUUGUGCAAACACUGACUGGAUCCCUUACCUGGAGGAUAUUUAUUUAUGAAUUUGUUCUAAUGAUAAUCCAGCAUAUUCCCCAAGUAUCACUCCACAAAUGUCCAGAGGAUUUCUCAGUUUCACAGUCUGUGUGUUCUUCUGGUUCCUCGCUCACUGCACUCGCUUUCUGUUUGAAAGCUUAGUCUACAGUUGGAGAAUUCAAACAGGAACACAUCCAGAUCUGACAGUCACUUUGUUUAUCACAACUCAACUACCUCAGGAUUUUGAACACUGAAGGAAAAAGCAACUCUCACAGUGGGGAGAAAUGCACAUGAUCUGUGAAGAUUCAUCUGAAAUGUCCUUCCACCAGCUCAGUGACACUGGGGAGAGACCAUUCACCUGCUCUAAAUGUGGGAAAGCAUUCACUUAGUCAUCCAAACUGUUAACACACUAGUGAGUUCACAAAGAAGCACAGUUGAAGGAUUUUGCUGUCACUCUCACUAUCAAAUGAACCAUGGUUUUGGGCUGUUUGUACUGAUGUUACUGAUCCCUGCUCAAUUAAAGGUACUGGUAUUGUGGAUAAAA